rnacentral:rRNA from 1 species
GAACGCGAAGAACCUUACCUGGCCUUGACAUGUCCGGAAUCCAGCAGAGAUGCAGGAGUGCCUUCGGGAAUCGGAACACAGGUGCUGCAUGGCUGUCGUCAGCUCGUGUCGUGAGAUGUUGGGUUAAGUCCCGCAACGAGCGCAACCCUUGUCCUUAGUUGCCAGCACGUAAUGGUGGGAACUCUAAGGAGACUGCCGGUGACAAACCGGAGGAAGGUGGGGAUGACGUCAAGUCCUCAUGGCCCUUAUGGGUAGGGCUUCACACGUCAUACAAUGGUACAUACAGAGGGCCGCCAACCCGCGAGGGGGAGCUAAUCCCAGAAAGUGUAUCGUAGUCCGGAUUGGAGUCUGCAACUCGACUCCAUGAAGUUGGAAUCGCUAGUAAUCGCGGAUCAGCAUGUCGCGGUGAAUACGUUCCCGGGUCUUGUACACACC